rnacentral:rRNA from 1 species
AACGAACGCUGGCGGCAGGCCUAACACAUGCAAGUCGAACGCCGUAGCAAUACGGAGUGGCAGACGGGUGAGUAACACGUGGGAACGUACCCUUCGGUUCGGGAUAACUCAGGGAAACUUGAGCUAAUACCGGAUACGUCCGAGAGGAGAAAGAUUUAUUGCCGAGGGAUCGGCCCGCGUCUGAUUAGCUUGUUGGUGAGGUAACGGCUCACCAAGGCGACGAUCAGUAGCUGGUCNGAGAGGAUGAUCAGCCACAUUGGGACUGAGACACGGCCCAAACUCCUACGGGAGGCAGCAGUGGGGAAGUAUUGGACAAUGGGCGCAAGCCUGAUCCAGCCAUGCCGCGUGGGUGAUGAAGGCCCUAGGGUUGU